UUUUGUUGUUGAGAGUGUGAGAGCCAGAGAUGCAUCGACCAGUAAAGGUGCUGUUUAGAUACAGUGCACAUUUUUUGUUUGGAUAAAAGCUCACAGAAACUGAAACCAGAUGUAUGCAGCUUUGCCAGGCGUGGAGCACCAGCGUAAACCAGCUAAGACCACUCUUCUAAGCUUUCAGCCUGGUAAAGCUGGUUUUUCGAUCUGAACAGCUAAAAGUGGACUCUAAAAACCUCUCUAAAACCAGCCUGCUACACCAGCUAAAACCAAACUGGGAGACCAGGUCAACUUAGGUCCACGUGCUCAUCUCCACUCAAACCUUUGCAGAGAAAUGAAACAAUAACUGCAUGAUUGAUCUACAGUCGCCACCUGGUGGUGAUAAAAAUGAAUAGCAUUAAUAGAAAGUAUGACUUCAACAUAUUUUUGGUGGUAUGGUACAGUGCUUUAUAUAGAUUAAUGGUAUAUGGUACAGUCUUCUUUAGCUUAAAGGUAAAUAUAACAGUGAAUGAAGAUAAUUCUUAAACUGUGUGUAGAUGUUCAAUAAAGUUUAGAGUAUCAGUGAAGCAAGUUUGAGAGAUUUCUACAUAAAAUCUAUAGACCAUUUCAAAAGAUGUAAACAACACUUGUCCAGAAGAACUUCCUGUUUCAGUUUUUUAACACUAAAUAAAAGUUGGGAUAAAAUACAACCAACAGAACCAACAUAGAACGGAGUCAAAAAGUUAAACAAACAUCUUAAAGAUAAUGAUCUGUGUGUGAAAUUAAAAAAACAGUCACAAACUGAAAAAGGAAGUGCUUCUGGACCAGUAUUGUUUACAUCUUUUGAAAUGGUCUAUAAUGUAAAAAAUAUAAUCUUGAUAUCUUUAAUAAGGUAAAAAAAAUUAAUAAGGUCUAUCUCUAUUUAUAGUUGUAUUAUGCCACAUUUAACCUCCUAAGACCUGGAUGUCACGUAUGUGGACAUCAAUGUUUUUGUUGUUUGCACCAUAAUACUUAAUUCUGUGUAACUGGAACCUCUUAUACACAAACAUGGACAAAUACACUGCUUCAUGUUCAAAGAAAAAUAUUUGGUUAUUAUAUUUAUUGGAUCCCCAAAAUAGCUGGUAGAAAUCUGAAAAAAAAAGACAAACCAAAGCUCGAUCUUAGGAGGUUAAUUUAGGCUUCAUGUUAUCUGACCAAAGAUAGGAGAUUGUUGCAUAAAAUUGGUUUGGGGGCAGAAAAAAUUAUUUUGGUAGUGGAAACAUUUUUUAAGAUCUUUUCCUCUCAUCUCAUUCAGUAUUUUGUCCACCACCAUGACCCUUUAGUCUCUGUGGUGGUUCUUCAUGAGUCAACAUGUCAAAUGUCCUUUAAUGUUUUUGGGAAUUAUAGUGUUUAGUGAAUUUAACCCUGCAGUAAACCCAGCAAUAUGUAACUCUGUUGAUGCUUUAACUGCUGUAAGGGAUGAGGGAUUAUAAUCUUACUUAAUGUCUGUUAUUGACUGACUGCCAAUGUUUAACUAUUUGAUAUGCG